rnacentral:piRNA from 1 species
ACGUAUCUGCAGGCAGCCAGUGC